rnacentral:rRNA from 1 species
AGGGCACCACCAGGAGUGGAGCCUGCGGCUUAAUUUGACUCAACACGGGAAAACUCACCCGGCCCGGACACUGGAAGGAUUGACAGAUUGAGAGCUCUUUCUUGAUUCAGUGGGUGGUGGUGCAUGGCCGUUCUUAGUUGGUGGAGUGAUUUGUCUGGUUAAUUCCGAUAACGAACGAGACUCUAGCCUACUAAAUAGAUCGUCGGCUUACAAACGCCGGCGAGACUUCUUAGAGGGACAGGCGGUGAUUCAACCGCACGAAACAGAGCAAUAACAGGUCUGUGAUGCCCUUAGAUGUCCGGGGCCGCACGCGCGCUACACUGAAGUGAUCAGCGUGCUUUUUCAACCUACUCUGUCAAGAGUGGGGAACCCAAUGAACCUUCUUCGUGAUUGGGAUAGGGGAUUGUAAUUAUUCCCCUUGAACGAGGAAUUCCCAGUAAGCGCGAGUCAUAAGCUCGCGUUGAUUACGUCCCUGCCCUUUGUACGCACCGCCCGUCGCUACUACCGAUUGAAUGUUUU